AUGUCAACCGUCGGAGGCGACCCUGGCGGCGACGCCCCAUCCCCCACGUCGGCCGCGCCCGGCCUCCCGCGAGCCCCUCCUCUUCCGCUCGGAGGGAGCAGCAGCCGAGCAGGAACGAGCAACACUGGCGGCGGCCCCCCGCCACCCGCGCCGGCGGUGCCCGGCCCCGCACCCGCCCCUCCUCUUCGGCUCAGAGGGAUCAGCAGCCGGGCAGGGACGGGCAACCCUGUCGGCGGCGCCCCGCCCCCCGUGGCACAGAAACAGAAGAUGAAGAGAAGUGGAAUUUUUGGCAGUAGCAUAUUUGCAAUGUGGGAAAAGGCUUCAAAGGCAAGGAAAAUAAACGAAGUAUCCACGCCGAAUCAGACAGUAGCUACAUCUUGUACUUGUACUUCUCCUGUUCAUCUUGAGAGCAAUUUGCAGUUGUGCUUGUGGAGACAAACAAGCAUGAAUAAUAUCAUAUUGUUUACAAGCUUCUUAAGUUGGUAUUGA
rnacentral:rRNA from 1 species